UACGUAGGGUGCAAGCGUUAAUCGGAAUUACUGGGCGUAAAGCGUGCGUAGACGGUUACAUAAGUCGGGUGUGAAAGCCCCGGGCUCAACCUGGGAAUUGCAUUCGAGACUGCGUAGCUGAGGGUCGGAAGGAGGGAAGCGGAAUUUCCGGUGUAGCGGUGAAAUGCGUAGAUAUCGGAAGGAACACCAGUGGCGAAAGCGGCUUCCUGGUCCAGCACCGACGUCAGGCACGAAAGCGUGGGGAGCAAACAGGG
rnacentral:rRNA from 1 species